CUGGCCCAGGAGAAGUCCAUAGGAGAAGAUGUGUAUGAGAAACCCAUCUCAGAGCUGGACAGACUUGAGGAAAAACAGAAGGAAACCUACCGGCGCAUGCUAGAGCAGCUGCUGCUGGCCGAGAAGUGUCACCAGCGCACGGUGUACGAGCUGGAGAACAAAAAGCACAAACACACGGACUACAUGAACAAGAGCGACGACUUCACCAACCUGCUGGAGCAGGAGCGGGAGAGGUUGAAAAAACUCCUUGAACAAGAAAAGGCUUACCAAGCCCGCAAAGAAAAGGAAAAUGCUAAGCGGCUCAACAAACUGAGAGAUGAGCUUGUGAAACUCAAGUCCUUCGCACUCAUGCUGGUGGAUGAAAGGCAGAUGCAUAUCGAGCAACUUGGCCUGCAAAGCCAGAAAGUACAGGACCUGACUCAGAAACUGAGGGAAGAGGAAGAAAAGCUCAAAGCCAUCACUUCUAAAUCCAAAGAAGACAGGCAGAAGUUGCUCAAGUUGGAAGUGGAUUUUGAACACAAGGCUUCGAGGUUUUCCCAGGAGCAUGAAGAGAUGAACGCUAAGCUGGCCAAUCAGGAGUCUCACAACAGGCAGCUCAGACUCAAGCUGGUUGGCUUGACUCAAAGAAUCGAGGAGCUGGAAGAGACCAACAAAAAUCUUCAAAAGGCAGAAGUAGAACUUCAGGAACUAAGAGAUAAAAUUGCCAAAGGGGAAUGUGGCAACUCCGGUCUCAUGGCAGAAGUGGAAAAGCUUCGGAAGCGCGUACUUGAGAUGGAGGGUAAAGAUGAAGAGAUCACGAAAACCGAAUCCCAGUGCCGGGAGCUGAGGAAGAAGCUGCAGGAGGAAGAGCAUCAUAGCCGAGAGCUCAAACUUGAAGUUGAGAAGUUACAGAUGAGAAUGUCUGAACUGGAGAAACUGGAAGAAGCAUUCAGCAAGAGUAAAUCGGAGUGCACCCAGCUGCAUUUCAAUCUGGAGAAAGAAAAGAACUUAACCAAGGACCUGCUCAAUGAAUUGGAGGUAGUCAAGAGUCGGGUUAAAGAACUGGAAUGUUCUGAAAGUCGAUUGGAAAAGGCCGAAUUAAGCCUAAAAGACGAUCUUACAAAGUUGAAGUCCUUUACCGUGAUGCUGGUUGAUGAAAGGAAAAACAUGAUGGAAAAAAUAAAGCAAGAAGAGAGAAAAGUGGAUGGACUCAAUAAAAAUUUUAAGGUGGAACAAGGCAAGGUUAUGGAUGUCACGGAAAAACUCAUCGAAGAAAGUAAGAAGCUUUUAAAACUGAAAUCUGAAAUGGAGGAAAAGGUAUACAAUUUGACGAAAGAGAGAGAUGAGUUAAUAGGCAAACUGAAAAGUGAAGAAGAAAAAUCCUCUGAAUUAAGCUGCAGUGUUGACUUAUUAAAGAAGAGACUUGAUGGGAUAGAGGAAGUGGAGAGAGAAAUAACGAGAGGAAGGUCUCGAAAAGGACCUGAGCUCACCUGCCCAGAAGAUAACAAAAUUAAGGAGCUAACACUUGAAAUUGAGAGACUGAAGAAACGUCUCCAACAGUUGGAGGUGGUGGAAGGGGAUUUGAUGAAGACGGAAGAUGAAUACGACCAGCUGGAGCAGAAAUUUAGAAGCGAGCAGGAUAAGGCCAACUUCCUCUCUCAACAGCUGGAGGAGAUAAAACACCAAAUCGCCAAGAAUAAAGCAAUAGAGAAAGGUGAGGCGGUGAGCCAGGAGGCCGAGCUGAGACACAGAUUUCGGUUGGAAGAGGCGAAAAGUCGAGACUUAAAAGCAGAAGUCCAAGCCCUUAAAGAGAAGAUUCAUGAACUGAUGAACAAAGAAGAUCAGCUUUCUCAGCUCCAAGUGGAUUAUUCUGUCCUUCAACAAAGAUUUAUGGAAGAAGAAAAUAAGAACAAGAACAUGGGGCAGGAGGUCCUCAAUCUGACCAAAGAGUUGGAGCUGUCCAAGCGGUACAGCCGCGCUCUCCGACCCAGUGUGAACGGGAGGAGGAUGGUGGAUGUCCUCGUGACAUCCACCGGCGUCCAGACGGAUGCUGUUGGCAGCGAAGCGGCGGAGGAGGACACGCCAGCAGUGUUUAUACGCAAAUCCUUUCAAGAAGAAAACCAUAUCAUGAGUAACCUGCGACAGGUGGGACUGAAGAAACCGAUGGAACGUUCCUCUGUCCUAGACAGGUAUCCGCCCACGGCCAACGAGCUCACCAUGAGGAAGUCUUGGAUUCCAUGGAUGAGGAAAAGGGAGAAUGGGCCCCCGCUGACUCAAGAGAAGGGGCCUCGAGCCGGUUCCAGCCCGGGGCACCCAGGAGAGCUGGUUCUUUCGCCCAAGCAGGGCCAGCCCCUGCACAUUCGAGUGACGCCAGACCACGAGAACAGCACUGCCACUUUGGAGAUUACGAGCCCCACGGCGGAAGAAUUUUUUUCCAGUACCACCGUCAUUCCCACCCUAGGGAAUCAGAAACCGAGGAUAACCAUUAUCCCAUCACCAAAUGUCAUGUCUCAGAAACAGAAAAGCGGAGAUGCUACUCUGAGCGCGGAGCGAGCCAUGUCCCCGGUCACGAUUACUACCUUCUCCAGAGAGAAGACACCAGAAAGCGGAAGAGGGCCGUUUGCGGACAGGCCCACGUCGCCCAUUCAGAUCAUGACCGUGUCCACAUCGGCGGCCCCGGCGGACCUCGCUGUCCCUCCCGAAUCCCAGGAAAUGACCGUGGGAAGGACUGUCCUCAAGGUCACCCCAGAGAAGCAGACUGUGCCAACCCCAGUCCGGAAGUACAACUCCAAUGCCAAUAUCAUAACCACGGAAGACAAUAAAAUUCACAUUCACUUAGGUUCUCAGUUUAAGCGAGCCCCUGGGACUUCAGCUGAAGGAGCAAGCCCGGUGAUUACCGUCCGACCUGUCAACAUGACGGCGGAGAAGGAGGUGUCCACCGGCACAGUCCUUCGCUCGCCCAGGAGCCACGUCUCGUCUCGCCCUGGCGCGAGCAAAGUGACCAGCACCAUCACCAUUACACCGGUCACGACCUCAUCGGCCAGAGGAACCCAGUCAGUGUCGGGACAAGACGGGUCAUUCCAGCGGCCUACACCCACCCGCAUUCCUAUGUCAAAAGGUAUGAAAGCAGGAAAGGCAGUAGUGGCAGCCCCAGGAGCAGGAAAUCUGACCAAAUUCGAGCCUCGAGCUGAGACUCAGUCUAUGAAAAUAGAGCUGAAGAAAUCUGCAGCCGGCAGCGCUACCUCUCCUGGAGGGGGGAAGGGCUGAGGGCAGUGGCGGAGGGGAUUUGGAAUACUGGAGAAAGAGCAAGACUUUCCUGAUUGGGAAAACGCCAGGGAUAUUCGACGAGAAGGGCACGUUUAUGUGGGCAGAGAGGGCAGAGAGGAAGAGGUAACAGGAUGAGCACAGAGAGGGCUUGAUAGUAAACAGGAAUGUAUUAUUCCCAAAGCUCCCUAACCCAGCCGAUGGUCAGUGUUUCCCCCCCCUGCUUCCUCCUCCGGACUCAUCCUCGGUUAUCUCCUCACCCUCUGCUCUUUCAACUUCUCCUUUUCGCCCGUUACCUCCACGUAGGAUGUAAAUACGCUCUGGCCUCUUCCGUUUGAGCACAGUGUUUCCUUCAGCCAUGCAGUCCUCUCUGGCUACUGCCCUGACCCCUUCCCUUCCUGCCCGGUGGAGCCACUGACACAACGCUCGGCCUUUUCUGCCUCCACGUCCACUGUUCCCAUUGAUUCUUUAAUUAUUCUUUAUUUUUGUGCAAGUAACUCAUAUACAGUUAAAAUACAAGCCAGCGCUAAAAGACAUGAAAAGAGCUGUUCCUGACCUCACACCCCCUUUCCAAACUCAGCUCUACUCCCUAGAGAAAAUUAUUAUUUCUCACUCUAAAUUGAUAAAUUUUGGAUAUCUUUUUCUUCCCAUUAUUGUUUUGAUGUUUGAGAAUUUAGUCCUCUUACGUGUCUCCUCCCUUCCCUUUUCCCCAUCCUCACAAUAUGAUUGCAUCACACCUUUUUUGAUAAAUCAGCAGCCAGCAGCCAGCAUGUUUCAUGUUCAUAUGUUUACAAUGUAAAUUUAAAUAUUGUUCCCUGCUGAGCCAAGUAGUGUACUAUGAUUAUGUUUCCUUCCUCUUACCACGUUCCCCCUUCAAAAGAAUAAUUGCUUUAAUUUUUCAUCUGCUUGCUUUUCUAUGUAUCUACCUGUAUCUUUUCCAAAUGCUCCAAUAGAUCUACCGAACACCUAUGAGUAAUUUUUCCAAACACUUAAGCACAUCGGUUUCAUACUUUUCCCUGGAGGCCUUACUUAGUCUGGGAUGCUUGUACUUUACACCUGCCGCUCAGCUGUUGUCCUAUGGCCUACAUUGAAGCCUCUGUUUCCUGGAUUUCUUAUCUUCUACUUCUUUCGCUUACCUGUUUGUCUGCCUAUCUAUCUAUCUACCUAUCUAUCUAUCUACCUACCUAUCUAUCUAUCUAUCUAUCUAUCUAUCUAUCUAUCUAUCACCUAUCUAUCUAUCUACCUAUCGAAGCGCAUCUUCCAGUAGUUUCUACAGAGAAAAAUCCUCCAGUAACCUUCCUGAGGCAGGCUACCUGCAUUCUGGGAACAGAUCAGGGAGAUGAAGUGGAGAAUCUCACAGUUUAGGCACUCCCUUGCAUUCAGCCCAUUCUUGUACCUAGGUCCAGAACUUGUUAGGUCAGUUUUUUCAGAGAAUAAACCCCAGAUCUCUGUUAAGGGUGAAAGUAGAGUGAGGUUUUGCUCCUCUCCCUCUGUGACUGAGACCUCGAAUCUCCUUUGGAUUCCGUGAACUUCUCUGACUGCCCUGCCUCAGUCUCCCUUGCUGGCUCCUUAUUGUAUGCAUGCAUUUUUUUAAAAAUUGAAGUAUAGGUGAUUUACAAUGUUGUGUUAAUUACUGCUGUACAGCAAAGUGAUUCAGUUACACAUGUAUAUACAUUCUUUUUUUCAUAUUCUUUUCCAUUAUGGUUUAUCACAGGAUAUUGAAUAUAGUUCCCUGCGCUCUACAGUAGGACCUUGUUGUUUAUCCAUUCUCUAUAUAAAAGUUUGCAUCUGCUAAUCCCAGCAUCCCAAUCCAUCCCUCCCCCAACCCCCUCCCCCUUGGCAACCACAAGUCUGUGCUCUAUGUCCCUGAUUCUGCUUGUUUCAUAGAUAGGUCCAUUUGUAUCAUAUUUUAGAUUCCACAUAUAAGUGAUAUCCUAUGGUAUUUGUCUUUCUCUGUCUGACUUACUUCACUUAGUAUGAUCAUCUCUAGGUCCAUCCAUGUUGCUUGUGCAUGCAUCUUAAGGGUUGCUGUUCUCCUCAUCUUUUCAAAAGCCAUUUGCCUACACUGCGUGCUCAUCUGGUUACUUUAUUCACUCCCAUGGCUUCAGUUAUCUCCCAUAUGCUAAUGACGACCAAACCUCUAUCUCCAACCAUGCCCUCAACGUGGCACUGUACAUCUCCAACUUGGUUCGUCUCAAAGCCAUUCUCAACAGCCCCUCCAUCCCUCUUCCAAGUUUUUCGCUUCUCCUAUAAUUCUCCACCUCAGCAGGAACGUCCUGAGCUACCCAGUCACUCAAGAAAGCCAGAAGGCACUUCAGGCCCCUCCUUCCCUCUCACCCACCAAGGAGACUCAUUCAGCAAGUCUCUCAUACCCCUGUCAAGCCCCUGACACCUGAGGCAGCUGCACCCACAUCUCCAUUUUCCCCAUCACUGCCUGAGUGGGGGUUCUAACUGCUUCUCAUCUGGAUGACUCUAAUACUCUCCCAACUGAUCCCAUAAUCUCCAGCCUCAGCGUUUCUGAUUCAUUUUUCAUUUUGUUUUUCAAAGUGCAAGUUGAUCAUCUCACUCCUCUAUUUGAAGCCCUCCCAAGGCCCCUCGUUAUCCACAGCAUGCAAAGCCAGCUCCCUGGUGUGGCGCUCCCGGCUCUGUGAUCUGGCUCCCUACCUCCCCACCCUCCCUUUCCCUCGCCUGGACUCCCACCCCCAGGCCCACAGAAUGCCCUGCACAGUGGCCAGAUCACCUACCCUUGACCUGCUCAACUUGUUUCUUCUCCCUGGGUUGCCCUUCCUCCCACAUUUCCUUCUGGUGGUUCUGUCCUCUGUUCAAAAUCUCUUUUAAGAACUUUGCCUCCAUGAACAAGACAGGCCAUUAUUUCAGAAUCUAAGCCAGGGUUUAAAGCCUGUCCUUUUUUACAUUUUUACAGCAAAUCCUGUAAAAAAAAACUUGGUACUUACUGUAGAGAAAGAAAACCAAGUCAAAGGAUGGCUGGGAGUUGGAGAAGAAAGAGGUGUUCUUGCUUCCUCCUUCGUCUGCAAUACAAACCUGUGAGAAUGAUAUGGAGGGUGCUGACACAUCAUGCGUGAGAACACAGAGGGAAAGAGGCAGCAGAAUUAGGGGAAAUCUGGGUGCUGCCCUUCUGGAUGGUAAAGCAUCAUCAUCCACCAGUUACGUAUGAGCUCCAGAUGAAAUGGUAAACCGAGCACACACUGGGUGUGUGUACUUCUUCUGAAUCCCUGUUGAAUGGAUAGUAUUUCUCCAGCUCUCCACCAUCACUAAGGUCCUCUAUGCUACUGAUCAUGACUGGAAAUAAUUUUCUACUUCCAGUGAAUUUUUCUGAGGAUACAAAUGUAAAAACUGAACAUGGUGUUGCUGACAAUAUAAAAAUACGUAGCAUGAGAGCAAUUCAAUCUUUAUGUCAGAAUAAAUUUCUCUUCCUUUUGCAAAGCUUUCAGGUCCAUGGGCACAUGCUGUGUAAUUUAUUUUUAUAAUACACUUUGUAAUGUGAUUUUUUACUAAAGUGUUUCCUUUUUCAUAGUCUAUGGCACAUGUAUCUGUAGAAUACACUGUCAGUUCUUCAAAGUAUUGGUACUGGUGCAUUCAAAAUGGUAACCUAUACUUAUUUUCUUUCAUCAAUUUGUUAUUUCUGAAAAAAAAAAAGAAAGUACAACACUCUACAUAUUUCCUGGGGUAAAUUCAAGAGGUAAAUCCAAAGCAGGAGAUUCUGGAAGAGGUGUUAUUAUUGUUUGUACAAUGCUGUGGUUCUGAUCAUGGUUCAACACUAACAAAUAACACUGACUUAAGAGCUUAAUUUUAAAUAAGCCAGUUUUUAAAGUUGCUCUUUCUAGUGUUCUGUGCCCAAAACCCUGGAUGAAUUGGUUUUCAUAUGGAACAAAUUAAUAGAAGGAGCUGUAUGAGUUUAACCAGUAAGAUUUACAGGGACACCUUCUACUGACAGUUCAAUUAUAUUUCUAUUUGCAUUGUUUACUUAUAUGUACAGGACUUAUAAUAAGGACUGUGAUAUCAGGAUAUUUCUCACAAUCUACCCAAAUGAAAGCCUGAAAAUAAAAACUGACCUAGAUGCUAUCAGCAUCUUUUUAAAAUAUGGUAGGAGAAAUCCCAAGAUAGAUAACUUUUUUUUUCCUUGAUAGCUAGGAUUUGGACAGGAUUUCAUAACCACAUAUAGGUUAGAGAAUAUAUUCUUAAAAGAUUCAAAGCAAACAUACAUUGCUCAAAUCUCAGUGUCAGACCUGCUGUUGAAUUUAGGUUUAUGUGAAAAUAUGCAUCAGAAAUCUACUUGAAACCCUAAUAGUAUAGGUUUUUUUAAAAAAAGACUUUGUUAAUAUGGACAUGUUUUCAAGAAGGUCUUUAAAAAGAUAACUGAAAGGUAACUGAAGAGUUGACACAUUUUCUAGGUGCAGAAAUCAUGUAUCAUGUCACUUUACUGAGAUUAAAGAAAGAAUGCUUCUGAGUGUCACAAGUAUAACUAGAAAGCACACAAGUAAUACUAUUGGCCCAUUUCUCCAGUUCCCAGCUUUAUCCAGGUUCCUAAGGCCACAGAGGGAAAUCCACACUGAAUCUCUAGAACAGAAACGUUAGGUUUUAAGGUAUACCUUGUGGAAUUAGCAAAUCAUAUUCAGUAGCUAUUAUAAAUUAAAUAACUAUAUUUUAUGUAAAGUUAGUUUUGAUUUUUGUAAGUAAAAGAAAUGCUACAGUAGGUUUGUCCGAGCAUGAAUGAUUGUGAAUGCAUCACAGACCUGCAAGGCUUUCAUUACUGAUUAAGAAAACUAGAGUGUGUAUGUGUGAAGAUUUUAAAAAUUGUUAUGGCUUUUGAUUUCUGAAAAUGUUUCUGAACUGGAAAGACAAUUUCAAUGAGAAAAGCGUUUUAUUUAGUAUUGUCGUAUUUUUUGACUCACCGUUAAGUUCCCUAUGUGCCAAUGCUUAUACUUCUGAUGGCAAAAAUAUUCUGAUAUAUCACAAACUAGCGUCUGAAGCAAAUAACUGUCUGAGCAUGUGGGAAUUUUAUUACACUAAGAGUGAACAGGCUAGAGGAUAAAACUUUAAAUACUUCUUGACUUUAAUUUCAAAUAUUACAAAUAAUUUAUAUAUAUUUGGAUCAAAAGUUUUUAUUUCUCCUGCAUUUAUAAUGAAAUUUGGUACUUGCAAAGCAGAGUGAGGGUGAUGGUGUGAUCCAAGUCAUUCAGAUGGAUACAGAGCUCCUUUCUGCCUCUGCUAUGGUUAAGUCCUUUCUUUAAACUCUAAUGGAAUCUAAGUGGCCGAUGAGUAAUAUUAACCUAAAUUAAUAAAAAAGUCGUCUUGAAAUAAAAUAAUAGAAUAUUAAAAAUUAACAGAAAAUAGAAAACGCCAAAGAGUCAUAUCCUUAUCUAAUGAAUAAACAAACAAGAUCGUAAAUAGUCAUAUUCCAAUAUCAACAUCCAAUGGAAAAGAUUGCCCCCCAUGUGCGAUCCUGGCUCCAUCCCAGACUCACAUGAUUUCUAUAUCUUUUAUUAUAAGCAAAUCUCCAAUCAUCAGUAUGAGUGAGAAUCAGUUUUGAAUGGAAUAAUUAGGUUUUCUGAAAGAUAAUCAUAAUCAGUGUUUCCAGGUUAAGGCAUAUAAUUGAACUAAUCCAUUAUGUUGCCCUUUUCUUUUUGAGAGGAGAAUGUUUUUUGAGGGUAUCUUCUACAAAGAUUGUUUUUCAAGUAUGUCAUAAAAUAUUAGGGUUUGAUGAAGUUAGUGGUAGAGGAAAUAUUCCAGAUAUUAGAUGCCUGGAAUGGUCACAGAAUGUGCAGAAUGAACUGCAUCUUAGGACAACCAUUUGAAAAAAAAUCAUGGUGUGGAAUAUCUAGCUUAAACAUUAACAGAGACACCAACACUACUGAAAUAACUCACAGCUUCUAAACACCAGUGACGAGGAGUAAAUGGUGUAUCAGACAACGCAUUUAAUAUGUUUGUGCCUUUUCUAUUUAUACUGUGGUUGAAUUUUCCUGGAAAUAAAUAAAAAACAUAGCAAAAGUAGGGUGUGUUCAUGAAUUUGAUGAGCAACAAUUCUAAAAACAACAAAAAUGCAAGAUGGAAGUUUAAAAAAAAACCAUAUCUGGCAUCUGAGGCCUAUACGCCCCUCCGGACUCCCGUGUUUACACCUCUGCUAAAAAUACUAAUUAGAAGGCAAAAAGGAAAAAUGACCAAAAUUGUUGUAACAAAUUCAUAAAAAUUGGGAGAGUUUCAUGGAAUUAAUUUUGCUUAGUGACCACUAAAAUUUUAUUUUCUUAAAUUUUCAGCAUUUACUCCAUAACUAAAUGAUGAAAACUGUGUCUGUUACUUAGGGAAAAUGCCGUAGAUUCAUAAAUUUACACAGAAAUGUUUAUAGGUGCCAUGACAUGAUUCAUUUAUUUUCUGGUGUUGUUUUCUUUUUGUUUGUUUAUGUUAUUUGGGUAAUUUUACCUCACCAUUCACAGAUUUUGUUAUUUUAACAAUUCAGCUCUGUAUUUCUUUAGAUUUUGCUUUAAAAAUGUCAGAUGUUAGCUCUUCCAAUAUAAGAGGCUUACAAUGUGAUCAGGUACUCUUAGAAGUCUUGCAAGGUUUAAUGGAUUUUCAAAAGCAAAAGAUUGCAUUGAAAAAAUUUGGAGCUACAUUCUAUUUUCACAGCAUUCUCAAUUUUGUUUCCUUUAAGUUUUAUUAAAUCCAUGAGAAGUUUAUUAUUUUUCACUACAGCCGAGUGAAUUUAUGGAUAUGUACUUGUUUUUUCUAUGAAUGUAAUAUCCUACUUUCAGUUCUUCACAGGCUAUUGAAAUUAUUUAACCAAUUAAGACAUUCUCUGUGCUAUUUCCAAAGCCAACUAUGUUUAUCAAAAUCUCACCAGAGUGAGAAAAAUAACAAUUGUGAUAUGAAAGCAUUGUGCAAUAUUCUUUUUUGAGUUGGAACAUAAUAUUCAUCAAAUUAAAAUCAUUUAAAAUGAGUAUUCAACCUUCUUUUUACUUAAAAUUGUUUGCUUUAAAAUAGUUUUCCCUUCUGCAUUUUGUAUUUUCUUUAAAAUAUGGUGUUUUUCACUGUGAAUAUGCAGAAGCGGUACAGCAGAUCUGCCAAAAUGAGAGACGCUUUUCCUUGGAGUUACAUCAUAGUUUGAUUCCUUAGUGAGAUGAAAACUGCAAGACACCAAGAGACACAGCUGGUUGCAGGGUUUCCCUCGCCCCUUUAGCCUCCCCAAAUGCUUUGUCCAUCAGCAUUCAGAUAUUUCCCACUGCGUUCUGCUGUCAAUCUAAAGGGAGAUUACUCAGUAGAGUGAACGCUCCUGAGGUUUUCCAGCAGUCCUCAGCCAGCCUCUACAUGGGCAGCUGGGUAAUGGUUUCAGAAGAGUGUGCUGGGGGUGACUGUGGGGUUGUGCUCUGAUCUCUUUUAUUUGUCAGCCUUGUGCCAGAAAUGGUGGUCCAUUGCCAUAGCCAAUCCGAAUGUAUCUUUGCCUUACUGGGGACAAAGGAAUGGGUUUCUCCUAUUAUUUAAAGAUAGCAUAUCCAAAAAGCAGGCAAGGCUGAUGUCUACCCAAAGAUGCCUUCCACAGGAAAGCUGCAGAUGUUAGGGGUCUUACCCAUAAUUGCAGCUCUUUGGCUUCUCUUCUUGGAGGAGUGGAGCCCUUUGGGGGACAUGGUUUAAGAGCAUUGGCCAAAAGACUGUUAUUUCAUGACUUCCUGGGAGAAGGGGUCACAGGCUUUCCAUCAUAUACGUUCAAAUGGAUUAUUGCCUUUGAGUCCUGGGAUAGAGUCACUUUUAAUGAGGACAGGCUUUUCCCCCAGGUAGAGAAACCGGAGCAACUUCUCUGGGCCCCAUGUUUGUUGGCAGUAGGGCACAGUGCACCAAACUCUUUUCUUUUCCUUUUUCUGAAUGUCACUAAAGUCUGCUUUUGUAAUUUGUAUUCAAUGAAUCCCAAGGAACGUAUGAAAAAUGUCAAGCACUGAGGUCUGUCUUCAGCUGGGGCAACCCUAGUGACUGCAUGGUCCCAGGCACAGCAACCUGAUCCACAGAUGAUGGUAAGAACCCAGUUCCCUGCAGUUCCCAGAUCAUUUUUUUUUAAAAGAUAAUCAGUCCUCCUUUAGUUUUCCCUGGCAUUAUUUCCAGCAUCUCCUUCAGAGAUAAGUAUCUCUAAGGAUAAAAUAAUUUUCUUCUUUCUCUUCAGGAGUCCAUUUGUCCCAUUCUGCCUUAUAUUGACUGGCAUUGGUGUAAAACGCUGUCUCCCUAGUGUGACUGUAAGCUUCUCAGAGGCAGGACUUGCAUAUUCCUCACAGUGAAUAGAAUAUACUGGAUAAAUGUUUGCAAAAGGCAAUAUAAUUCCUUCUUCCAACUGCUCUGUCUCCUAAUCUUCACAGAAGUUUUCCAUGACCAUAAACACAUACUCAGUUUUGGUCUUUCUGACUCUUACUCCCAUUUCUUUCUCCUCCUUGAGAACAAGGUAUAUGCAUAGUCAAAAUGGCAGGGUGUUUUAUAGGCACUUAGUUAUUGACUCCUAAUCCCAAAGGGUUGCUCCUUCAGCAGGGUGUUCUGUGCCAGAUCUUCCUCACCAAAUUGACCUGCCUGGUGAUUCUACCCCUGCAGAAGCCUCUGUACCCAUUGAAGGUUUCAGAUGCAGAGUAUCUGGAUUUAACAAGAGAAAACUCUCAAUAAUCACUGAUUCUAAGGGAAGAUAUGCUCUCUACAAGGACAAAGGGCCCUCAUCUUAUCAGAUCACCAGAUGGUCUGUGCUAGCAUAACAAGAGAGUUGUGGUCCGUCAUGUCUGAUUCACAGAGGCUGAGCCCCGGUUCCCACAUAGAGCAUUGGUGCAAGUAAGCAGUGGGACAAAUGGACUCCACAAGCUAACAAACUGAGCAUCUCCCACAAGUGGAAGGAACCAGCGAUCUCUGUUUCUAGGGCAAUGGCAAUCUGCUAAGAUCUUGCUUGAGAAAAAGAACAUGAUCAGCCAGGGUAUAUGGUUUUGCAAAUUAUUAUUAAUAAGUGUAGUAUAAGGUUCAACUUUCUCUACGUCCCUUUAUUUUUGAUUCUCUUCUCUCCUGGGUAGAGAACCACAAUAUCACUUAGACCUUAGGACCAAUUUCCUCACAAUUUAGUUUUUGACAUAAUAAAGAGGAUAAGGUGUGAUACCUCCCCAGACCCUCUAUAAGUCCCUGUGCACACAUUUUAUAUGGCACUGACCUCAUUAUAUUUCAAUUGCUUGUUACCAAAUUGUCUUUCUCAUGGAGUUAGGAAAGUCUCUUUCCUCCAUGGCCCCUCCCCUUUUAAAAAUUAUGUCACUGUUACACAUGUGUCAGUUGGCUGUCAAACAAGAAAUUGCAGCAUCAUAUUUGAAAGGAAGACCUUAUCUAUAAUUGAUGGCACCUGUAAUAGAUAAAUGAUGGAAAACUAUAUGCCAUGGUAUGUAAUUGACUGAGG